CUUGUCUCUGAGUGGGGAUGGGGCUUUUCUGCAGACAGGAGGCCACCAAAGUCCCGAGCCCAAGGCCCCGCGGCCCUGCAGGGAGAGUGCUGAACUGAAGCAUUGCCUGGAGCUGGAUCUGAGAGAAGCCAGAGCCCUGGGCCCUGUGAGGCUCCUGCCUGUCAGAUUCCUGCAUCUCCCUCCCUCUUCCCAGGUCCUGGCUCUGGACCCAGUGAGCAGCCCUUUGCCAUGACCCUGUGUGCCAUCCACCUGUCCCCGGGGGAUGUGAGCACUUGCCCGGCAGCCCGGGGCUGGGGACGUGGGCAAGCUGUUAGGAUGGUUCAGCCUCUGCUCCAGGCUAAUGCUCCUGAAGAUGCGUCCCAGCCAGGAAGCUCCUGGCACUUUCUGUCUCAUUGUCUCAGCAUAAGCAGUAUUCAGAGGUGUCCCUGGAACACGUGGCUCAGAGGGCAGCUGGGUAUUUGCCCAGGCUCUGUGGCAACCUGCCGUCUUCUGGGAUAGCCAGAGGGCUGAGCCUGCCAGAGUGCCAGCACCACGGCUUCAAGGCUGUCUUGACCAGCAGAGGCCUGGUCCGGCCACACCUUACUUCCUCCUGUUCCUCCCGGUCCUUCCCACUCACCUCUACCCUCCACUCACCCUCUCUUUCUGGAGCACUGCGUCUUACCCCAGGGGAAUGCCCAGCCCACACCCAGACCAGUCAGCUUCUUCCAGAAGGCAGCAGAGCCGGAGCAAGCCCAGGGCUGAGGGGCCUCAUGACUGAUUUCCCUUCUCAGAAACCUCUCUGACCUCCCAAACUGGAAUCUCUGCCUUUGGUUUGCAAGCCAGGAAUCACAGAUGGGUCACUCAACCAGAGCACUCUUGUGGUGUGUCCAGGUCAGAGGGCAGCCAGGCCCUCCCAUGCCAUCCCCAGCAGCUGGACGGAGGGCGAGAAGCCCCUCCUGGUGCCUCAGGCCCUGAGCCUCUCAGGUUCCCUCAAAGGGAGGGGCUCUGCAGAGCCAGCUGCAGCUGUGGGAAACCACACACCGCAGCCUGCAGGUGCAAGGGGCCUGGGGGAAGGGGAGAGGAUUAACUGUUUCUUGGGAGCAAGCCUUUUCCAUCCCAUCCAUUCCCAAAUGGUGGCUCCCCCAGGAUGUGGCGUAGCACGCCCCGCAGGGGUGUGGGGUGGGAAGCUGGCUGUGGAAGAGUCACAGGGCUUGUGAUCCAGGGAUCCCAGAGACAAACCCCUGCCUCAGAGGCCCUGAAGCCCACAGAGAGAGACCAAGAUACUCUCACUGACUCUGGGCGGCUUCAGAGGCCACUGAGAAACCCCGGGCACCGUGUCCCACUUCAUGUCUAGUUGCCACUCUCUGGAGACACUUCCUCCAAGUCAUAGGACCUGCCCAGGGGAGGCAGAAGGGAGCUUCAUUCUUGGGCUGUGCCACUCACCCCACCGGGGGUCUGCCCCCUGAGGAUGCGCAGAGUGCUGCCAAGAGGAGCACCGGGCCGGCCUCAGUGGGGGCUGAGCAGGCGGUUCCUUCCCCCUCAGCCUGGGCCUCUGGGUGGUAACCAUGAGUGUGAGUGGGUAAACUCUAGCUCACCGAGGCUGGGACACUGCUCUGGGGUUGUCCAGGGGCUGGAAGCCAUUCAAGGGGAAAACCUUCGCAGGUUCCCAGAAUGACUCCUUUCUGCCAGGCUGUCCCCAAAGGCUAGCGGGAUGCUCAUGCUGCCCUUGUGCCUGCCUGUCACAGGUCCAGGUUGGUCUGACCUCUCAUCCCGCCAGUUACCUGCCUCCUGGUGGAGCACCCACCGAGAACAGUGUCCUGGCAAGAGACCCAGGGGGCCCCGGGCCCUGUGGGAAGAGGCCAGAAUUGCCUUUGUGUGAGUCCUGCUUCAACCCCUAACUUUCUUCUCACUCUUCCCACUCUUCCAUGAGAAUAAGUAACUCAUUCCCUUACUCUUGAUUUUCCCUAAAUGUGAGAAAGGUGAUGCUGUCUAGGAGAAAGUGACUGAGUUCACCCUGCACACAUGGGCACCAGCUGCUUGUCAGGGUUGGAAGGUAGACACACAUUCUUUCCCUGGAGGAGCCCACAGGCUGGCAGGGCAGACGUUCACACGCGAUUCAGAGGCAGGGCUCUGCAAGGGAAGGCAGUAAGUUCAUCAGGGGCAGAGGAGGAGCUGAUGAUGAUGGAGAAUGUCUGCAGAGCUCACAAAUGUUCUCUGAAGCACAUAGCGCUGGCUGUUUGGAACGAAGCAGAAAGGGGUAGCAUCCGCUUUUGAAGACAGACCUGGAGAAGGCUUGCCGCGGACAAAGGAGCUGCUCACUAAAUGCUCAUCGCUGGCUAGAAGGGGAAGGCUGCACUGAAGUGAGGAAGGCUGCUGGCCUGGCCAGCACUCCUCCAGAAGAAGCCUCCGCUUCAGGCCUCUCGCCCUCCCUCCUCCUCCGGUUGGCUGUGAGAAGCAGUGUCUUGGGAUGGGCCUGGUUUUGGGGGUGCUGGUUCUGCAGUUUCCAGCAUCAUUGGCCCUGACAGUAAAUACAGAAUUUUGGCAUCUUC